CCUACGGGAGGCAGCAGUGAGGAAUAUUGGUCAAUGGUCGAGAGUCUGAACCAGCCAAGCAGCGUGAAGGAUGACUGCCCUAUGGGUUGUAAACUUCUUUUAUAUGGGAAUAAAAUGUUCCACGUGUGGGAUUUUGUAUGUACCAUAUGAAUAAGGAUCGGCUAACUCCGUGCCAGCAGCCGCGGUAAUACGGAGGAUCCGAGCGUUAUCCGGAUUUAUUGGGAUUAAAGGGAGCGUAGGUGGAUUGUUAAGUCAGUUGUGAAAGUUUGCGGCUCAACCGUAAAAUUGCAGUUGAAACUGGCAGUCUUGAGUAGAGUAGAGGUGUGCGGAAUGCGUGGUGUAGCGGUGAAAUGCUUAGAUAUCACGAAGAACUCCGAUUGCGAAGGCAGUUCACUGGACUGACACUGACACUGAGGCUCGAAAGUGUGGGUAUCAAACAGGAUUAGAUACCCGAGUAGUC
rnacentral:rRNA from 1 species